UGUGUCUAACUUUACAACGGAGUUACUACUUAAUGUAGUAACUCCGUUGUAAUGUUUGUUUUCAAUGCACAAAAAAGUGGUACGUUUGUUUAAUUGAGGAUUGUUUAUGACUUCUGUCUCAUUGAUUUUGGAUUAUUUCAGCUAAACAAAGUAAACAUUUAAUUCCAUCAAGUUACCAGAGAUCAAUCCUUGGGAUCAUUUUGGAAGAGUAAAGCAUGACCCCGUGAAGUUAGCAUGUAACACCUGUAGACAAAUUCCUGCCUAUCGUAGAAUACUAGUAAACAUUUCUCCACUGCAGGUCUUUUCAUUAAAUCUAGUCAUGUUUUAAAACAUAGUUCAGAUAUAACAGUUGAUUUCACAAAUGUUUCUUCAUUGGUUCAAAUUAGAUAUUCAACAUAGUCCAGACCUCAUUAGAUUUUUGUGAAUUAUUUUCUACUGUGCCAAUAUUGAUUAGAAUAAAAUCAAAUAAACAACAUUAAAUAUUGUUAGACAGAAUGAGUAAAAAAAAAAGCUCAACCCAAAGUCUCAAACACACUACCCCAUACACCAUACAACCCCCUACUUAGCCUACUGAGAUAAAUAGCGUAAUGUUAAACAAGGAGUGUUCCUAACUCUAUGGUGCUGAUGUCAUAGACAGGGAGGGGAAAGGGAUGGAAGUUAAUAAGAAUUUGGUCAUUCCGAUUCCAUUAUAUCACCUAUCGAUUUGAUUCCUUAUCAGUUCUUAUUGGUUUCUCAUUCGCUCCACUUUGAGAGUCACCACCACAAAGCAGCAGAUGAAACAUUCUAGCAAAUUAAUUACAUGCUGUGUGGUCACAUGUUUGUGCAUGUUGGAGGUAUUUGCCCUCUUUGUUGUGAUCAUUGUUGGGGUCAUUACUCAAAAUAAUUAAGGCAUUACACAUAUUACACAGAAAACUUUUCUUAUAAGUAAUACAGUAUGUUACUUAAUUACUCCCAGGAGAAAGUAAUUCAUUAUACUACUGGUUACAUUACUUUCACCGUUUCUCUUUAAAAUGACCUGAAAUGUACCGUCUCAUAAUUACCAUUUAACAAUACAAACCAAUAGCCCACAGUCCCACACAGCAACACCGUUUCCAUUACCGUUGAAGUUCAGGGUCUGGCUGCUGGGCUGGGGUCGGCAUUCACUGAGCUUAACAUCACGCUAGGGGCAGUGUUGAGCUCAAUUUGCAAAAUAAAUGGCAAGUUUAUUGCAAGCACAUGGAGUUGGAUACUGGCGGAUAACACCUGCAAGAAUAGAACAACCACGCUUUAUAAGAAAGGCAAUGUGCAAACUGUUGUCUGUUUGAUUUGUUUUUAAUUACUAUGAACGCAGAGAGAAGCUCAACACUGCCCCUAGUGUCCUGGAGCAACUUCCGUUGUGUUUGUACGUGUUUUGGAGUUUGUAGGUGCUUCGGAGUUUGCGUGUUUUGGAGUUUGUACACGCUUUGUCUCUAGGGGUCUCUAGGGGCCACCUAGAGACUUUUUAAGCUAUACAAAAAUAGCUUAAAAGUAUUGCUUAUUUCUUCCAAAACCAGACUUUGCUAUUCCAGUGCCAGUGUGUAUACAUGGUGAUGUUUGGAGUUGUCUGUGAGCUGCCACCUGGUGUCCACUUUUGUAAAACCUGACAGGUGAAGACAUUCUGAGGAUGUCUGCUUACCACCAAGCAGUAACUAUAUAAGCUGUAAUUGUUUAAAAAAAAAACCAACAAAAAAAAUAAUUCAUUUAAUUUGUUCUAUGCAAUAAAUUCAUCUAUAGUUCUCGCUUUGUCAUAAAGAGUGUAACAUGACACGGUGGACAACAGUGCUAACCACAAUGCCUGAACAUGCUUCUGUAAAUUGUUAAGGUGGUGUUGGUUCAUUUUGGAAUACCGUUAAUGGAUCGUUUGAAAAAUAAAAUGUUUUUUUGAUUGAUGUACAAGCCAACUAUACGCAAAAGUCUGUGUUCAAGCUUGUUUGAAUCAGUGAGUGAAAUACUUGCAUCAUAUUCAUAAUACCGUUGAAAGUCAUGUGAAAAGAAAACAAGAUAAUUAUUACUAUAUUCUAUUACAUCAUUUGUGUUUAAAGGGCUAGAAACACGGGAAAAAAGGCUUAUCUUUGUAGAAGUCUAAAACCAUUAGCAUUAGUGUCACUGUCCAUUUAUAAUUAAAAGUCAAGCCAACUGCAUGUCAAAAAAUGACAUCAAUGAGAUUUUACUAAGCUAACAAAGAUGUAUAAACCUGCCCUGCUCUCUGCCUCAUGCCUGGUAUAAGAAACCCACCAGUUACCACUGUCAAAGCUGAUAAAUCAUCCAAUCACAUGCUUGGAUGUGUUUAAUCACACAUUAGUCUAAUGCAUAUCUCCUGGUGUUCUGGGAACUGUUUUUAAUGCUGACACACACUCGCACACAAAUAACAGCCCAUCGGGGCAAUCUUCCGCCCCAUCAGUGCGUUAACUUUCUAAUUUACUGUGUUCUUGAAGUGGAGGAGCAAAUGAGUGUCCCAAAGAGGAGUCAGUCCCCCACACAGCAGGGGCUGGGAGACCCCCUGCAGCCUCAACAAACAUUUAGACUGUGUUGUUACUGUGAUACACACUGUCAAAACAGUGGUGAUGUCAGAGUGGUGGCAGGAUUCUGUGUGUGGUAUUUAUGAAAAAGACUCUCUAGACUUUAAGUUCCUUUUAAAAUUAUUAGAAACCUUUUUUUCCCAUUACAUUUAAAUUGACUAAGUUACUAUUCAGCUGCUCUAAGAUCUGAUUUUUGUCUAACCCAAGAUGCCCACCUGUUAUUUAAUGUUCUCCAUCUUAACAUAGCUGCAGUCUGCCUUCACAAAUGUUUGUGAAAGAAUGGGUGUGUGAAAGAGGCUGUUGAAUUCAAGUGUGGUAUUGUAAUAGGAUGCCACUAUGGUAACAAGUCAGUCCAUUAAAUUUCUUCCCUCUUAGAUAUUUCAUAGUUAACUAUAGCCAUAACUGGAGUUAUUGCAAAGUGGAAGCAUUUAGAAAAAAACAGUAACUCAGCCACAAAGACAAUGUAAAGUUACAGAGCAGGGAUGCAGAGGGCUGAGGUGCAUAGUGUGUAAAAGUCACUGACACGCUGACUCAACAGCUGCAGAGUUCCAAACUUCCUCUGGCAUUAACGUUGGUGUGCUGAAAACUUAUGGAAUUCGUUUCCAUGUGCAAGCACCUCUUGUGGGUGUAAAGUGUAGAUGACCCAGUACUUUGGUACAUAUAGUGUGUGUCUUCAGACAAAUAAUUUUGUGACAUAUGGUGCCAUGCAAUCUGUACUAAAACCACUAAAAUCACUAAAACCUGAUUUUGUAAUUUUUCUGUAGGCUUAGAAAUGUGUCGCUCACAGUGUGGUGCGAAUUGUUAAAACUUGAAACUGUGAAACAAAACAUGUCUGUAUAUGUUUCCAAUCUUUUACUGUGAUAUUGACACCUGUCAUCAGUUUAGUCCUUUGUCCCAUGGAUGAACUUUCAUAAUCUUUGUCAACACAUAUGCAUAGCGUAUGUUUGCUCUGUUUGGUGGUUAAAACAUCAUGAGCAGCAGGGCAGAGACAACAGCAGAUGAGAGAGGCUGAGCAGCCAAGCAGCCGUGAAAAUCCUCUCUACAUCUUCCUCCUCAUGCAGGCAGAUCCCUAUGAAAUCAAAUCAUCUUUUCUUUCUCCACCUCUUUAUCUCAUCCCAUCCUCCUUUAGAGCCCCCAUUCUCAUCCUCUGGUCAGUCCCUUCUACCCAAACUACCAUCUUAUUGUGCCACUGUGGAGUACCUUUUUGUCUCUGGUUCCUCUCCAGAUGCUUCUCCAGUGGUCUCAUUUUCAUAAAGCUACAACAUUCACAGGGAGAAGAGAGUUAAAUAGGUAAGUCACGGAGAGAAGAAAGCAAGCGAGCCAGAGAGAUGGAGAGACAAAGGGAAAGAUGAAGAGAGAGGGAGUAAAAAACGUUAGUGGUCAGCAACACCGCGGGCAUCAUAAAUCAGAUUUCCCACAAUCCCCUGCGGAGGGGCCCUUUCCUCGGCCUUGAGCGGACACGCUCAGCGGGGUGCGGAGCAUCGAUUGGCGUCGCCAUGACGAUGCUGACUGUGCCGGGUUCGGAGGGCGAGAGGGGCGAAAAGGUGAGGUGUUGGAAGGGAGGGGUGGCUGUGUAUGUGUGUUAGUGUAGUGGUGGUGGGGGGCACGAAGAAAUCUGCCUCAGCAUCAAACUAAAACAGCAAAAACCAAAACCCAGGAAAACGUAAGUGUGUGUUUGUGUGGGUGUUUGUGCAGGAGAAUGUGCAGACUCGGGGGUAAUUUCCUCCCCAAUCAGCACACCCUCGCUCGCUUCAACACUUGCCCCCUUCCACUUCUUCUUCCCCGCUCAUCACAAUCUUCUGCCCACUCACUCUGGGGCAAAACGGGGGAACAAGAUCUUUCUGUUGCCUCCCGUAGGGUUUGUGUAGGGAGGCCGAGAUCCAGCUCACACAGCCGCAGGGCUCUGCUCAAACACUGAACCCUGGGCAGAAAACACAAACUGAUUAACCAACAUGUCAGCUUUAUCACUUAGUAGCUUUGGAUAGAGUUUAUGUUAUUUAACUGAAGAAGCCUGAAGGCAGAGCUUUAUAAAUGCCACCAGCUGCCUCAUUUCAUUAUAGAAACUGUUUUAGUAUCAUAUUGUAUCAUACUUGACAACAAUGAAACCACAAGUACCAAAAAACCCAUACAUUAUACAUAAUGUAUAAAGAUUAAAGGUAAAAGGUAAAAAGAAAAAAAUACUGACUUGACAGUUUUUUCUUCUUUUUUCAUGCUGAAGAAAGAUAUGAAACUCUCACCUUUGUUCUCUUUGAAGAAAAAAGUCUUAGGGUGAGAUAAUUGCUAUAAACAAAGUCCUUCUGGAGGCAAGUCUUACCAGUCAGCAACCAUGUUGAAAUGCCUUUGGGAACUUAAUUUGGCAGGUAUUUUGAAGCAUUGUUUAAUUUCAUGUUUGCUGACUUUCCCUCAGAAUAUGGUCUAAAAAAGCUUUUUCCCCCAUACUCUUUUACUCCCUCUGACAAUGGCUAUGAGAUUUCACUUCAGAUUAUUUAACUGAAAAGUCCCUGAAGUUGCCGUCCUCGCACCACUGUCAGUUUUUAUUAUCAGAUAACUUUUUUAAAUUAAAAUGUAUCUACUGGUGGGUUUUUCAACCAUUUAUGUACAAGAGGGAGGGGUAACAUUCAAAGGACUGCUGUUCUAUGCUCUAAUUUUCUUUCUCUCUUUUUGAUUUGGUUGGAGGUAGAAGUCUGACUUGCAGGGACACAUGAAUGCUUUGUCUGCAGUACAAAGAGCUGAAGUUGUACAGUCAUUGUGUAUUCAAACAAAUCUUUGUUGUCAUGGUCCGCGGCCCGGCGUCCGAGGUGCUGAUGGGAUGCCCACGCCCACGGCGUGGCUGCUAACUCCACACCUGCAUCCCAUCCCAGGCGAUCACCAGGUGGACUAUUUAAUCCUGCCGCUCCACGCCAGUCCGUAGUCGUCUCUCAGCGAUCUCAACUCGGCGUGUUUUGAGCCACCUGCCUGUCCACCUGCCCGUUUGGAAUUUGGAUCACGAUCAGCACUCCCCGCCUCGACUUUUCUGGACCUCCCCCGCGGACCCUCACCCCUCCCUCCGGCUCCCUCGGCCCUGCUAUCAUCCCUCCCACAGUCCCGCUCUCGGCGUUCCUGCGCAACUCACCUCCCGGUCCUUCGGUUUCUCUGGUUCCACGCACUUUUUCCCUUCUACCCUCCCGGGACACCUUCAGUUAUAAUAAAGUUUAUAUUUUUCUCA